rnacentral:rRNA from 1 species
CAGUCGAGCGGUAGCACAGAGAGCUUGCUCUCGGGUGACGAGCGGCGGACGGGUGAGUAAUGUCUGGGAAACUGCCUGAUGGAGGGGGAUAACUACUGGAAACGGUAGCUAAUACCGCAUAACGUCGCAAGACCAAAGUGGGGGACCUUCGGGCCUCAUGCCAUCAGAUGUGCCCAGAUGGGAUUAGCUGGUAGGUGGGGUAACGGCUCACCUAGGCGACGAUCCCUAGCUGGUCUGAGAGGAUGACCAGCCACACUGGAACUGAGACACGGUCCAGACUCCUACGGGAGGCAGCAGUGGGGAAUAUUGCACAAUGGGCGCAAGCCUGAUGCAGCCAUGCCGCGUGUGUGAAGAAGGCCUUCGGGUUGUAAAGCACUUUCAGCGGGGAGGAAGGCGGUGAGGUUAAUAACCUCAUCGAUUGACGUUACCCGCAGAAGAAGCACCGGCUAACUCCGUGCCAGCAGCCGCGGUAAUACGGAGGGUGCAAGCGUUAAUCGGAAUUACUGGGCGUAAAGCGCACGCAGGCGGUCUGUCAAGUCGGAUGUGAAAUCCCCGGGCUCAACCUGGGAACUGCAUUCGAAACUGGCAGGCUAGAGUCUUGUAGAGGGGGGUAGAAUUCCAGGUGUAGCGGUGAAAUGCGUAGAGAUCUGGAGGAAUACCGGUGGCGAAGGCGGCCCCCUGGACAAAGACUGACGCUCAGGUGCGAAAGCGUGGGGAGCAAACAGGAUUAGAUACCCUGGUAGUCCACGCUGUAAACGAUGUCGAUUUGGAGGUUGUGCCCUUGAGGCGUGGCUUCCGGAGCUAACGCGUUAAAUCGACCGCCUGGGGAGUACGGCCGCAAGGUUAAAACUCAAAUGAAUUGACGGGGGCCCGCACAAGCGGUGGAGCAUGUGGUUUAAUUCGAUGCAACGCGAAGAACCUUACCUGGUCUUGACAUCCACAGAACUUUCCAGAGAUGGAUUGGUGCCUUCGGGAACUGUGAGACAGGUGCUGCAUGGCUGUCGUCAGCUCGUGUUGUGAAAUGUUGGGUUAAGUCCCGCAACGAGCGCAACCCUUAUCCUUUGUUGCCAGCGGUUAGGCCGGGAACUCAAAGGAGACUGCCAGUGAUAAACUGGAGGAAGGUGGGGAUGACGUCAAGUCAUCAUGGCCCUUACGACCAGGGCUACACACGUGCUACAAUGGCAUAUACAAAGAGAAGCGACCUCGCGAGAGCAAGCGGACCUCAUAAAGUAUGUCGUAGUCCGGAUUGGAGUCUGCAACUCGACUCCAUGAAGUCGGAAUCGCUAGUAAUCGUAGAUCAGAAUGCUACGGUGAAUACGUUCCCGGGCCUUGUACACACCGCCCGUCACACCAUGGGAGUGGGUUGCAAAAGAAGUAGUUAGCUUAACCUUCGGGAGGGC